UACAGAGGGCCCGAGCGUUGUUCGGAUUCAUUGGGCGUAAAGGGUGCGUAGGCGGUUUUCUAAGUUUGAUGUGAAAUCCCGGGGCUUAACCCUGGAAUUGCAUUGAAUACUGGGAGACUAGAGUACUGGAGAGGAAACUGGAAUUUACGGUGUAGCAGUGAAAUGCGUAGAGAUCGUAAGGAAGACCAGUGGCGAAGGCGAGUUUCUGGACAGUUACUGACGCUGAGGCACGAAGGCCAGGGGAGCAAACGGG
rnacentral:rRNA from 1 species